rnacentral:lncRNA from 1 species
CUGGCUUCCAGGGAGCACUUAAUCCAACAAGGCCUUCUGAUAGUUCUACUCUCUGGGCUAAGCAUAUAUCUAUCACAAGUGUAUUCCAAGUUGAUCUACAUGUAAUCCAGAUAGAAUCUUUUUUUCACACCUACCAAGGAAUUGACAAGGUUAUUCUGUUUGAGCAUAUAAAGAGGGACCAAAAUGAUGCCACGCUCCCACACACACCCAAAAAAAGAAAACAAAAAACCCUUCAACAUGCCUUUAGUCCCCUCCUUCACAGGUAGUUGAAUGCCUUAGGAGCCAGCUGGGUCUACAGAAUGAAUUCUACAAUAGCCAGGGCUAUGCAUCAGAGAAGCCAUGUCUCAAAAGAAAAGCCAAUCAAAAAUAACAGUAGUGAUCCCUGUGGUACUAUUUCAGCCAAUGAGCUGAGAAAGAAACCCUACAUUAAUGUGAUCAUUAAUAGAGAAUAAAUGGCCCUGAUAGAGCAAUUAACUUAAAAGGCCUAGGCCUCUCAGCUCAUGUAUUAUCCCAAAAUGACCUAGGUGGACCAAAGAUUGCUAAGCAGUGUCUUGAUUUUAGGAUAAACAAUGUAGAAUCUGAAAAAUUAGACUAGCUUUACAUAUUCACUGGGUUGUAGUUAUGUGACUUUAGCUGCUUGUAGCAAGAAGUCAUUUUAAAAAGUGUUAUGCCUUAAUAAGUCCUUAAAAUUGUAAUUCCAGUGUCAAGAGUGCUUUCAUAGCCUGAAUUAGGCUGGAUUUGAGUCCAAACAUUAGCCCUGAAAAGCAAUCAAGAAAAUCUAGCAAAUCACAAAACUGAUGGGCUGGUAUCCACAAGUAGUGGAAGGCUCUUAGUACCACCCUAACCUUACCAAAACAAUCUUAAAAACAGAUGUGCCUAGCAUAUCAGUGUUCUACAUAUUCAUGCUUUCAAAGCUCACAAAGAAUUAGAGACAUUUGUGAUGUUAAAACGGUUACUAUAUAUAGAAUAUAUAAAAUCACAACACCUAACAGCUUGAGUACCCUGAGGUAUAGGAUUUACUAAACUUAAAAAUGAUUUAAUGUUUUGAUCAUAAAAUGCCAUCUGUGGUUGGAGAAAUAACAGUGGUUACAGAGAUCCUGAAUUCAAUAACCAGCAACCACAUGGUGGUAAUAGGAUCUGAUGCCCUCUUCUGGCAUGCUGUAUAUAUACAGUAUAUACAGUUAGAGCACUGAAGCAUUAAAUAAAAUCUUUUUUAAAAUUCCAGUGUCAUGCCCUAAUUUUUUUUUCGUUCAUUCAUUUUAUUUUAUUGAGUGCAUGGUGGAAGGGGGGAGGGAGGGAGGAUCUUUCCCAUGCUGGGUAAGAUCUAUGCCUUGGGAAGGAAGGCAGGCAAACGGGUUAGUGCUAGUGCAUAGUCCAUGGUGGUGCUUUAUCCAAAAGACUUUGGUUGUGGCCUCCCAUUUUAUUCUCAAAGGGCAGUCUGGGAACCCUCUUGCAGAAGGCAGGAGGAACUGGCCGACCUCCUUAUCUGUCUCACGACGGUCUAAACUCAGCUCACCCAGCUCACGUUCCUUAUUAGUGGGUGAACAAUCCAACGCUUGGUGAAUUCUGCUUAACGAUAGGAAGAGCCGACAUCGAAGGAUCAAAAAGCCGCCACAAGCCAGUUAUCCCUGUGGUAACUUUUCUGACAUCUCCUGCUACAUUGUUCCAACAUGCCAGAGGCUGUUCACCUUGGAGACCCAUAUUCUAAUUUUUAAGGGUCCAAGUGUUUUGUGUCCUUGAGGAUUAAACCCAUGAACAAGAUGGUGGUGGCAUUUGCACUAGGAAUGUUUAACCAUUGUUCAUAACAAUAUUCAUACUGGCCGGGCAGUGCUUGCGCACGCCUUUAAUCCCAGCACUCAGGAGGCAGAGGUAGGCGGAUUUCUGAGUUCAAGGCCAGCCUGGUCUACAGAGUGAGUUCCAGGACAGCCAGGGCUACAGAGAAACCCCAUCUGGAAAAAAAAGCAAAAAAUAAUAAUCCAGAGAUGGUGGCACAUGCCUAUCUAUAAUCCCAUUACUGGCCAUGUGGAGGUAGAAAGGUCCAAGAGUACCAAAACAAAGUAGUGGUGUCAUGUACCUUUCUUGCCAGGGUUUGAUAGGAGUUGUGGGUGGAUUAGGUCAAGAUCAUGUCAUCAAUUGCCCUCUACAUAGCAAAUACAAGGCCAGACAGCCACACUCUCAAAAACCAUAAAAGGAUGUAUAUUCUAAGUCCUGAGAUCCUUCAAAUGACAUUUGAGUACCGAUUAUGUAACUAUGCCCUGGUUAGAUUAAUAUUUUAAAAUUGUGAUUUAUUGGGCCUUAUGUGGCAUAGGCUAUACAGCCUACUCUUAGCACUUAGGGAUAUACUCUCCGGUUAAAUUCAUAGCCUACUGAACUAUACUGCAAACUAAAGUCUCAGAUGGGGUGAGGGCAAGAGAAGGUAAUACUGUAGGUUCCGACUAGAUUUAGUUACAAACUCAAGUUUCUCCCGGCUAUUUUUCGACUUCAUCAAUGACAUCACCUGAAAUGCAAGUGACUGACGGCUAAUGCUGGUCAACCUCCUCAUCUUAUUGGAAUAUACACCUGGUACUGCGGCUACUGCACUCUUAUCUGAAAUGCCUUGUAUUGGAAAUGGCUUAAGGGUUGGGCCGAGAGG